GACGAACGCUGGCGGCGUGCUUAACACAUGCGAGUCGAACGGAAAGGCCCUGCUUUUGUGGGGUGCUCGAGUGGCGAACGGGUGAGUAACACGUGAGUAACCUGCCCUUGACUUUGGGAUAACUUCAGGAAACUGGGGCUAAUACCGGAUAGGAGCUCCUGCUGCAUGGUGGGGGUUGGAAAGUUUCGGCGGUUGGGGAUGGACUCGCGGCUUAUCAGCUUGUUGGUGGGGUAGUGGCUUACCAAGGCUUUGACGGGUAGCCGGCCUGAGAGGGUGACCAGCCAGGUUGGGAGUAUGAUGCCGCCCGGCCUCCUCCCGGAUGCCGCAGCGGGGAGUUUUGCAUAAUGGCCUUCAGCCUGUUGCAGCCGUUCCGCGGGCGGGAUGACUGCGUUCGGGUUAUAACCCUCUUUCCCCUGUGACACACCGUGCCUGACGCUACUGUGUAAAAAAGCACCGGCUAGUUACGUC
rnacentral:rRNA from 1 species